UACGUAGGUGGCAAGCGUUAUCCGGAUUUAUUGGGCGUAAAGGGAACGCAGGCGGUCUUUUAAGUCUGAUGUGAAAGCCUUCGGCUUAACCGGAGUAGUGCAUUGGAAACUGGGAGACUUGAGUGCAGAAGAGGAGAGUGGAACUCCAUGUGUAGCGAUGAAAUGCGUAGAUAUAUGGAAGAACACCAGUGGCGAAAGCGGCUCUCUGGUCUGUAACUGACGCUGAGGUUCGAAAGCGUGGGUAGCAAACAGG
rnacentral:rRNA from 1 species